GCUCUCUUAAUUGGAUUAGCCAGCUGCGAUGCGAUGGCUGAUGUGCUUUCCCUGCGCACAAUCUCCAGCUUCUGGAAGCAGCAGCUACUACCAGAGGGAGCUGGGCUGGGCUGGGGAGGGGAGACCAGGCCAGGCCAGGCCUGGCCUCACCAGUGCAUUAAUAUUUCAGCAGGGAGGAUGGGUGCAGGAUUUUGUCUCUCCGGAGCUGUUCCCUAGCAACUGGUCCCUUGGCCCGCAGAGGGAGCCAAGCAGGUCCUACAGGGGUCAUCUGAACCACUGAAUGGGUGUCCAUCAGAGACCUGCCCCUAAAAUGCCAGCCAGCCCCCUUGAUACAGGGCCAGGGAAAAGAGCCAACUCAAAGGCUCCAGCACAUCAGCUGUCCUGAACGCCACCAAGUGGCCACCCACCAGCUUCAGACACCACACACCCAGCAUGUUUGGGCAUGGAACAGCUGGCCCUGGCCACGGAGCCUCCCAAAUCAGUGUCCUUCACAGGUGCUAAGAUGAGCAAAGCCUUCCUGAGCCAUCUCUGGCUGCAAAACACUGGACACUUAGCAAAGAAACCAGGCAACCCAGUAACACACCUCCAACCUCCAGUGUACUCCCUGUGCUCUCAGGUGCCACAAAUAGAUGGGAGCCGGACAGAGUCUUGAGCUCAGACUGUUCGUCUCCAGCUACAGUGCUAAUGACACAACACUGUAGACGGGGAACAGUGGCCUCCAGCUGUGACACCACAUCCACACCAGUUCUGGCUGUAAAAAUACAUGCCAGUUGAUGUCUGUAGUUGAAACUGAACUGAGAAAAUUCAGCUACCCAGGAGGAACCUAAGGACCAAUAGUCAGACCUGUCGGCUCUAAAUGAUAAAGCCCCAGUUGGUCACUGUGUAUAAUAGAGACAUGGGAGUCCUACAGAAGCAGCCUCCUGGAGAGACGUAUUCUGAAGAGCUCUCAGCCUCCCUGGAAAAUCACCACACCAUUCUUCUAACCUCUGUGAUCACGAGCAACAUGGAGAGGGAGAGAACAUGUGGGUCAUCGCACACAUUUCUGGGACUGGCUCAGAUCCAAAAGUUCUGCUUUCACCUACAUAAUAGCUUUAAAUAGACAGAUCCCAAACCCAACCAACAGUAUUCCUGGAAAAUACCCCUCAUGCCUUUCAAACCAGUGCAAAACACUGUAGCCAGCUGCACAAUACCUGCUAGGAACUGUGCCUCCCUGCUGGAGCUCACAGCACGGAGCAGAGCUUGUCCAUGCAGGAUGGAGCUUUCUUGGGGGCUGGAAGAAACUCCCACAUGAACCAACCAUCUCAAACCUCCCCACCUCCCACUCCAAGGGACUUGGACCAGCCACCACCAACAGAAACAUGGAGCAGCCUGAACAUAUUUAUAAAAUCAGCAACAACAAACCCUACCAAAACACUGCACUGCACACACAAUGCCCCGGGAGAGAGGAGGAGUGAGAACGGCCCACGUGACAGAUGUGCAGGUACGUCACUUCACGCACACCUGGAACUUGCUUAGGCAGUACAAUGACGAUGAUGGGAUAAGAACCUGGAUAUUGUAGAAUAGAACUGGAGUCCUCUAAAUAAGAUGUGGCCAGAUAAGAUACAAGAGGUAGCAGACCCGGCGCAUAGACCAGUCCAAGUGGGAUGUUCCUAGGAAUGCACAGAGACCUAACGCUCACAUCAUGUCAUAAAACAUGAAACGAAAACCCAGCCACACACCCUGCCCCCACAUUAAACGCUUCUUACGCCAGCACCACACAGCGAGCACAGCUUUCCAGGGAAAUGUGACAUGGCCACAGCAAAGGGCUGCCAAUGCCUGCUGCUGCAUGAGAGGCCAUGCCCUGUGGCGCUAGCCAGGUCGCACCUGCUGGCUGUUUGGAAAUUGAUUGAUGGCACCAAGAACCGGCUUGACUUUGGCUCCAUGCUGGACCCUGGGGCAGCUUUUAUCAUGGGGUGCUGAAAGCCAUGGCCCAAAGCUGUAAACCCUGGGCAGGAUGGAUGCCAGGCAGGCGAUUCCCAUUAUUACUUCAUGCUGGGGGUGCUGCUGCAUCCCUAGUUCCACUGGCCCCCUCUUUCCCUCCCUCCUCCCCGGGGUUGUUCCUGGCUGCAUGGAAGUCCCUGUUACAUGCUCACCUAUAUCUGUGCAGGUAUAUUCUGGGUGCCACCCUACCGAAGUGCUGACUCAGCUGUGGCCCUUCCUGCCCCUCUUCUUACCAAAAACAAAGAUGCUAGAGCUAGAGGGUGACACACUUUGGGGCUUUGGCAGCCAAACACAUAGCUCCCCCCAGGGGCUCCUUGCAUUCCCCUUAUUCCCCCCUGUAAACUCCCUGGGUGCCAGCCUCCCAUCCCCCCCUAUUUCAGAUACUCCCUGCAAACUCCCCCCUGCCAG